CUAGGUUAUCUGGAUGGGGCCAAUGUAAUCAAGAGGAACCUUAAAAGUGGAAGGAGACAGAAGAAGGAAGUCCGAGUGGGAUGUCAUUGCAGGAAAAAAUGAUCAGUGAGAUCCAACAUUCUUGUCUUUGAAGAUGGAGGGAGACAGCCAAGAACCAUGAAUGUGGGUGACCUCUAAAAACUGGGAAUGUAGUACAAGGCCACAGAAGAAUUGAAGUAGGAAUGAAUAUUUGACGAGCUGACCCAGUAAGAUCUUCUCGCCCCAGGUACCACUACCUUGGACUUUAUUUUCAAUUUUCUGCUUCAAUAGUUUUGGAAUGCACAACCAACAUUAACUUUAUUUUAAAUCCACAAAUGCAUGAAAGAGCUCAUUUAUGGUUACGAAUGCUCAGGGGAGAUAUUUUUUCAUCAUUUCAGAGCGAGAGUUUAGACAAGUUCUCUUUCUGUUUCUUUAUAUGUGACUGCUUUGUUUCACAUUCACUCUCAAGGUAAAAUUACUGUUUCCUGGGUGGAACAUAGACUUUCAGUUGUAAACUUCAUAUGCCGGGCCCUUGUC
rnacentral:lncRNA from 1 species